UGCCAGCCGCCGCGGUAAUACGGAGGGUGCAAGCGUUAAUCGGAAUUAUUGGGCGUAAAGGGCGCGUAGGCGGCCAAGCAAGUCAGGGGUGAAAUCCCUCGGCUCAACCGAGGAACUGCCUCUGAAACUGCAUGGCUUGAGACCGGGAGAGGGUGGUGGAAUUCCAAGUGUAGCGGUGAAAUGCGUAGAUAUUUGGAGGAGCACCCGUGGCGAAGGCGGCCACCUGGACCGGUUCUGACGCUGAGGCGCGAAAGUGUGGGGAGCAAACAGGAUUAGAUA
rnacentral:rRNA from 1 species